rnacentral:rRNA from 1 species
UACGUAGGGGGCUAGCGUUGUCCGGAUUUAUUGGGCGUAAAGAGCGUGUAGGCGGCCAGGUAGGUCUGGUGUGAAAACUCGAGGCUUAACCUCGAGAUGUCAUCGGAAACCAUCUGGCUAGAGUCCGGAAGAGGAGAGUGGAAUUCCUGGUGUAGCGGUGAAAUGCGCAGAUAUCAGGAAGAACACCAAUGGCGAAAAGCAGCUCUCUGGGGACGGUACUGACGCUGAGACGCGAAAAGCGUGGGGAGCGAACAGG